rnacentral:rRNA from 1 species
CGAAUGGGGCAACCCACCUGAUAUUCUACUAUUGUUGCGCUUUGGUGCAUUCAAUAGUUGGGUAAACCAGGUAUUUAUAACUUGAAUACAUAGGGUUAUAAAAGCAAACCCGGGGAACUGAAACAUCUAAGUACCCGGAGGAAAGGACAUCAAUUAGAUACUCCCCUAGUAGCGGCGAGCGAACGGGGAUCAGCCGAACCAUAAAUGUGACUAGAAUAUGUUGGAAAGCAUAACCAGAGUGGGUGACAGUCCCGUAUAGGAAGCAUGAUUGGACAUAUUAAGUAGGGCGGGACACGUGAAAUCCUGUUCGAAGAUCGGAGGACCACCUCCGAAGGCUAAGUCUCC